UUGAACGCUGGCGGCAGGCCUAACACAUGCCAGUCGAACGGUAACAGGAAGAAGCUUGCUUCUUUGCUGACGAGUGGCGGACGGGUGAGUAAUGUCUGGGAAACUGCCUGAUGGAGGGGGAUAACUACUGGAAACGGUAGCUAAUACCGCAUAACGUCGCAAGACCAAAGAGGGGGACCUUCGGGCCUCUUGCCAUCGGAUGUGCCCAGAUGGGAUUAGCUAGUAGGUGGGGUAACGGCUCACCUAGGCGACGAUCCCUAGCUGGUCUGAGAGGAUGACCAGCCACACUGGAACUGAGACACGGUCCAGACUCCUACGGGAGGCAGCAGUGGGGAAUAUUGCACAAUGGGCGCAAGCCUGAUGCAGCCAUGCCGCGUGUAUGAAGAAGGCCUUCGGGUUGUAAAGUACUUUCAGCGGGGAGGAAGGGAGUAAAGUUAAUACCUUUGCUCAUUGACGUUACCCGCAGAAGAAGCACCGGCUAACUCCGUG
rnacentral:rRNA from 1 species